UUCCACAUCUUUUAAUAAAGAGAUAAAUGGAGGCAGAAGACGUUACGAUACAGAAGCUGAAUGUGUGAAAUGCAUCGUCGCAAUAAAAAAAAGAAGAAUUUUAUUGAUUUGGAUAAAACUUUAAAGUUACAAACAAUAUUUGAUUGUGUGUUGUUGAUUUGAAUGUUGUGUGCGGUGUAAAGUGAUAUUUCCGCGUCACAAUCUUUGGUUGAUGAGACAUUUUUUAUAUGUUUUUUUUUUUUUUUAAUUUUUACAUCACAAAUUAGAAUAUCUUUAAAUACACAUUAACAUGAAUCCAGCAUGUUUACAGCAGUUGCCAGGUAUGUUUGGAGCAGGUUUGUUUACAGCAGUUGCAUGCCCCCCUUACUGUUGUACAGGUUUGAACUUUAAAAAAAUUAAUAAAUAUUUGUACCUGUGUAUUAUUUCAAUGAUAAUAAUGUAUAUUUCUAUAUAGUACUAGGCUGAGUUUAAUAUAGAACACAUAGAGUAGGUAGGCGGUCAUUAUGUAAUCUCUGCAUCAGUUUGUGGCCUGAAAGACCCCUGUGCUAAAUUAUAAUAGACUACAAUGAUGGAGGCCAUUAUGUGCCAUGCAUACAGUACACAAUUAGUAUAUGUUUGACACCUAAUUGCACCUAACUGUAAUAACAUUAUACAGAUAUGUGUUUUUUUCCAUUAUUCAUAUAGAAUAUAUUGAAUAUUUCUUUCAUGUACAAAGUUUUUCAAAAAUACAGUUAUCCCACGUGGAGGGACACGUCUUCUGAGGACUUCACUUGAAAUCUGGCGAACCUCAGCGCAGUUUCCUUCCACCAACAUCUCUGGAGUAUAAGUGAGUCCGCAGUGGACAAAUUAAUGAGAUUUCCAGCUCCACUCUCUGCCUCUCGUGUUGGUGUGUCUGUGUGUCCACGUGGUGUGGUGAAGGGACCCCAGUUCAUUCACACAAGCAAUCUCAGAGUUAUCAGCUCCAAGGACGUGCAAAUAAAAGCCACCCUAGCAGUGCGGGGACAUUUUAUCAAGCUCGUCCUACCCUCGAUCUGGUCACAAACAAACCGAGAGCCAACUCGUCUCUGGAUUCACCUUCUAAAACAUUCCACUUUCUCAAAAUAAAUAAAUAAAUAAAUAAUAAAUAAAAAUCUGUUCUUGUAAAAAAAAUGGGGCCUUAGAUUUAAAUUUUGUCAAAGUUUGACAGUCCCGCACAAGCCUUUGUUUGGUGUUACGUCACAGUUUAGUCCUAGGAUGACGCCAAGUUAAAGCCAUAAACUGAGCAAAAUGUGGAUGAGAGUAAACUGACGUGAAACAUAACUCAAAUGAAAUCAUUUUUACAACAAAUAAAAUUAGCCAUAGCACAGUUUUUGGUGAGAAAAGUUUUGUUAUUCUCCUCAUUGAAACAUUCUUCUGAUGGUUUCACCAUAAACUGCAAAUAUAAGGCAAAAACUAUAUAAGGCAAAAUUUAACUAAACUUUUUUAACAUUAUAUAUUUGUGUCUAUCACUGAUGUCGACAAAGGACAAACUGCUGCUAUGAUGCAGUGAAAUUAAAAGAUAAGUUCCAGUCUUACAUCACUGUAAGACCACUUCACUGCACCAGGCUGCAUGUGUUAAUACUUAAUAAUAUAUUCAUUCAGUCACAGUGACUCUUUUUUUUUUUUUUUUUGGUCUCCCCCUCCUCCACCCUUCACCCUCUACCUCUGGUCAGGGUCGAUCAAUACUUCCCCCGUAGCUUAUCACUAAUGUGCAACUGGCUGUUUGUCCAAACUCUGCUCUGUCUACAUAAAGACUUGGACUGGACGCCACCAAACCCAAAUGCAACGCGGAUCACCUCACGAGCGUGCUGCUGCCGGACGCACCACUGGACUUAAACUGACACUAAAAAAAAAAGACAAAAAAAACAAGACAGAGAGAGAGAAGGGCGGCAGGAAGGAGAGGGGAAUGAAUGAAGCUGGAAAGACACUUCAGGUUCGAUCCAUCCACCCGCCGGUUUGCUCUGCCUGCGCGCCUUCACCAACCCUUGUCCUCCAGAGCUGUGGAGUGUGACAAUGGUGUUUGUUUCCUGUGUAUCAAACGCCAUUAUCACACUAAAUAGCUACAGUGUGAAAAGGACCUCGGUGCGCUCCAUCGCUCCCGUCAAAUCUUUUCCUCCUCGAUCGCGCAGCGAAGAGUGAGCACGUGGCGCCACGAUUGCCCGGGACACAUUACACCGGUGAGCGAGAGGACGGAGAUGAACGGAAAUAGACAUGUUGUUGAAUGUUGAGUGUGACCCAGUUAGUUUUUUUUUUUUUUUUUUUUUUUGCAUUCGAGGCGCUAACUCGCUGCCCGGAGACCUUUCGCGUGCGAGUCGAGACGAAAACAGACGCGCCGCUUGGUUUUCAUGCUGUCUUUCUGCGUGCCUUCAUUAAUAAAGAGUGUUGGUGUC